rfam:Schistosoma mansoni strain Puerto Rico chromosome 2, complete genome
AUCCAGCUGACGAGUCCAAAAAAUAGGACGGGACACGCGUCGUGGAU